UACGUAGGUGGCAAGCGUUGUCCGGAAUACUGGGCGUAAAGCGUGCGCAGGCGGUUAUGUAAGACAGAUGUGAAAUGCCCGGGCUUAACCUGGGAACUGCAUUUGUGACUGCAUGGCUAGAGUUUGGCAGAGGGGGGUAGAAUUCCACGUGUAGCAGUGAAAUGCGUAGAUAUCUGGAGGAACACCGGUGGCGAAGGCGGCGUUCUGGACGGCAUCUGACACUGAGAAACGAAAGCCAGGGGAGCAAACGGG
rnacentral:rRNA from 1 species